rnacentral:rRNA from 1 species
ACCUUAGAAAAACUAAAAAGUCUCAAAAUACAAAAAAUAAUAACCACUAAAAAAUAAAACAUUAAACACACAAUAAAAAUAAAAUAAUUAGUAAUAGAGAAUGAACAUUAAAAAAAAACAAUAAGAACAAUUUAAAAAAGAAAACCUCAUAAAAAGAAAGACUUUAAUAAAAGUACUGAAAAGGAAAAACAUAUACUAAUCUAACCCACAUUAUAAACACUAAAUAUUAUUCCUUUUGCAUCAGGAUCUUAUGAGAAAGAAUAUAAAUAAAUCUUAAAAUAUGUAAUACGAACAACAACAAAUUUAUAUAACCCGAAACCUUGUGAUCUAACCAUGAACAGAAAUAUAGAACUAAUUAUAAAAUGUUGCAAUAUUUUUAAACGAUUUAUGGAUAGAAACAAAAAGUUAAACGAACAAGGAAAUAACUGGUUUUCGAAGAAAUAUAUUUCAGUAUAAAAAAUCAGAAAAUAAUAAAAAUAAUAAUACAAACUCUAAUACAACCACACACACAAACUAGUCGUGAAAAGAUGAUCAGUUUAAACGAAAACAGUCAUAAUCUAAAUUAAACAAAUAAAAUAUAAAAUACACACAUAAAAGGUAGACUCAAAAACAGCCACCCUCUAACAAAAACGUAACUGUUUACUACAUAACAACUUUAAAUAAAAAAUUUAUAACAAACACUAACCAAGAUUAGAUUAAAGGUAUUCGAAUAACCAUAAUAAUUUAAGCACUAGUAAAUAACACACAUAACCCAAGGGAAACAAACCGGUCUUUAACCAAACUAAUAGAAAAUAUAAAUAAUAAAAACUAUAGACUAAAACCGUCCCAAAAUCCACCUCUGGUAGGACUAAAAUAAUAACAAAAUCUUAAGGAACUCGGCAAAAUGAGGACUCGACUGUUUACCAAAAACAUAGCUAAUAGAAAAAGUUAUUAUUAGUGAUGCCUGCUCAAUGGUUGAAUAAUAACAAAUAACAACGACUAAAUAGCCGCGGUAACACCUGACCGUGCAAAGGUAGCAUAAUAAACCGCCUACUAAUUAUAGGAUAGAAUGAAGGUAAAACGAAGACCCAACUGUCUCAAGACCCUAAAAUUAAAAAUAGAAUGUGUGUGCAAAUCCACACUAAAACGGCAAGACGACCAGACCCUAAGAACUUUACCCAAAACUUCAGCCACUUAAAAGUUAUAAGUUUCGUUGGGGCAACGAUCUUUAAAACAGUAACUAAGACUAAUCAAUCACACAACAUAUUAACAAAUAACUUCAAACAGGUAAAACCCAUUAAGGAAAAACUUAAUGAAAAAAAAUAAAAGUUCCUUAGGGAUAACAGCGUCAUAUCGUUCUUUAGAAAAUAUUCAAACGAUGUUUGCGACCUCGAUGUUGAAUUGCUAUAUCCCAAAAUGUAACCACAUUUAAAGGUUGGACUGUCCUUCCAUCAAAAUAGCCCAUGAUUUGAGUUCAGACCGAGGCAACUCAGGUCAGAUUCUAUCUACCGUUCCCAUCAAAAUGAAAUUGAUACAAGUACGAAAGGAAAAUAUCUAAUACCCUCUAGUAAAGCCAAGAAAAACAUUAAAGUUUAUAAAACAUAACUACAACCCAUAAA